UAUGGCCACAUCAUGUUGAAACAUCGGUUCCCAUAUGAUCACCAAAGUUAUGCAGUGUUAAGCUUGGUCAGUACCUUGCAAGGUGACCACUUAGGAAUACCAGGUGCUGUAAG